rnacentral:rRNA from 1 species
GACGAACGCUGGCGGCGUGCCUAAUACAUGCAAGUCGAGCGAACAUUUGAGAGCUUGCUCUCAAAUGUUAGCGGCGGACGGGUGAGUAACACGUGGGCAACCUGCCUAUAAGACUGGGAUAACUUCGGGAAACCGGAGCUAAUACCGGAUAAUUCACAUCUACUCAUGUAGAUGUGCUGAAAGACGGUUUACGCUGUCACUUAUAGAUGGGCCCGCGGCGCAUUAGCUAGUUGGUGAGGUAACGGCUCACCAAGGCCACGAUGCGUAGCCGACCUGAGAGGGUGAUCGGCCACACUGGGACUGAGACACGGCCCAGACUCCUACGGGAGGCAGCAGUAGGGAAUCUUCCGCAAUGGACGAAAGUCUGACGGAGCAACGCCGCGUGAGUGAUGAAGGUUUUCGAUCGUAAAACUCUGUUGUUAGGGAAGAACAAGUACCGGAGUAACUGCCGGUA